AUGGCCAGAUGCUCCAUUCGUGGGGUAGAGGAUGAGAAUGAGUAUCAUGCGGUAAUUGCUUGUACCAAAGCAAGAACACUUAGGUCUGAAAUUCGCAAAGUCUGGCACCUCCCGUCAGAGAACAGUUUCCGCUACACAGGAAAUGAUUGGCUCCUUGUUUUGUUAGACGCAUGCGAUGAGAUUACGAGGGCCUGGUUCCUCUUGCUGAUCUGGCGAGCUUGGCACCUUCGGAAUAAUUGUGUACAUCAGGGAGGAAAAGCAUCAAUUUCGGUCUCGGUGGAUCGCCUAGUUAAGUAUGAAUAA
rnacentral:rRNA from 1 species